rnacentral:tRNA from 2 species
GCCCCCGUAGCUCAGUGGAUAGAGCGUCGGUUUCCUAAACCGUGCGUCGCAGGUUCGAUUCCUGCCGGGGGCGCCC